CUUCGGGAUAGAAAUUAUCCACACGAGUGGAGGAGGGGGAAUACAGACUCGCUGACAACCAAUGAGAACACGCCGAUACACACGGGCGAUCUCAUUGGUUCCCUGAAUCACUGGAAGCCAAUGGGAGCGCGUCUCUACACACCGGACGUGGUAUAUAACACAUCCGGGGGACAUUUUCUGCGGUAGCACGUAUUUUCUUUAGAAGAAUGCAUUCCGUGGUUAAACAGUUCAUUUGUGAACGGUUUGCUUUUAAAAUGGCUUUUAAGUUUUUCACGCGUAAGAUUUGUUAUUCUCACUGUGAUACGUGAUUGGACGUCGCAGAAAUGCUAUUUCUAAUUUCAAGAAGCACGUGGGAGUUGUGUCCCUAGGCCGCAACUGCAGGAUAUGUAAUGACUGGUGAUACCCUCUGAUCGAUGCGGCGUUUGAGGCUCACGAACACGUGGCAUGCAGUUAAUAGAGUAAGUACCACCAAAGAACUUUAACCUAUUUUACAUGGUUCACGAAUGAUGAUGUAUUUUGUGCGUUAGACUUCUGAAAGUUUAAUGAAGUCACCUUUUAUUUCUGACUCGAGCCAACAAAUAAGCUGAAGAUGUUAUGCGUUUUAAUACUUAUUCUAAUUCAUGCCCUUUAUCUCCCUCUGUGCUUCCAGUGUCUGGACGUGAUCUGCUUAUCAGAAAAGUACGUGUAUGGGUUUAUUCACAUACUUUUAAUGGUUAUGAGUGAUGAUUUUGACGCGUUAGACUUCUGAUUGCAAUUUGAAGACAAUCAAAUUCUACACUUGAUCUGACAUAACUCUGGCAUAUAAACAUGUUUUUAGUGUUGCAGUAACAAAGCCUAAAGGUUGUCUCUUGUUGCAGAGAUUGGACUGCAGUGCCCAAGGAAAAAGCGAGGCGUGAUGCUUAAAGCUGGAACAUGAAUAAAACACCUUUUUUCAAACUGAA